rnacentral:lncRNA from 1 species
GUGUGGAUGUAAGUAAGUAUACAUGUAAUUAUGUAUCUACGUAUGUAUGCAAUCAAGGAACCGGAACGAUAAAGUGAAUAAUCCAUGAUGUCGUAUUUGGUACUUGCUUGGUACUUGUUUGGUACUUAAUUAUCGACCGCGGAAGAAUAAAAUGAAAGCACACUGGUUGGGAUUCAAAUUGGAAUGCAAAUCAAUGUAACAAACGGCUUUAAGGUAUCUGUGCCGAUUCUGCGAUCCACCACCCUGAUGAAUGAAUAUUUUAUUGAAUUUAUAUCAAUGAUUAAUGCUAGCAUUCAUUAAUAUAACGCUGAAAGAAUGAACGAUAAAGUUGAUCCGCACCGCUAAAAGCAGAGAGGAUACGAAACAGUUUAAGUUACUUAAUUUGGUCUGAUGGUUAUAUUUCGUUUCGACGGACUGUAUCAGUCACCUGAGCUGGUAAGCUUAAGUAUCUAAAGAGAGCGGCGUCGCUACGUUUACUUAUCUUUUAUACAGAAUAUUAAAGGUGAAGUUUCGAUUGAUGAUUCUA